GACGAACGCUGGCGGCGUGCUUAACACAUGCAAGUCGAGCGGUAAGGCUCCUUCGGGAGUACACGAGCGGCGAACGGGUGAGUAACACGUGAGUAAUCUGCCCUUCAUUUCGGGAUAACCACCGGAAACGGUGGCUAAUACCGGAUACGACCAGUCUCUGCAUGGCGUGCUGGUGGAAAGUUCCUUCGGUGGAGGUUGUGCUCGCGGCCUAUCAGCUUGUUGGUGGGGUAACGGCCAACCACGGCUUCGACGGGUAGCCGGCCUGAGAGGGUGACCGGCCACACUGGGACUGAGACCAGGCCGAGACUCCUACGGGAGGCAGCAGUGGGGAAUAUUGGACAAUGGGCGAAAGCCUGGUCCAGCAACGCCGCGUGAGGGAUGACGGCCUUCGGGUUGUAAGCCUCUUUCAGUAUCGACGAAGCGCCCUGUCGGGUGGUGACGGUAGAUACAGAAGAAGGACCGGCCAACUACGUGCCAGCCGCCGCGGUAA
rnacentral:rRNA from 1 species